CUCUUGAGUCAGACCACUUGUACGAUAGAACAUAUGAUAAAGUUUUAAUUGAACUGUUGUCAUAUUGCAACAUUUUCGAUCAACGCUUUCGUACUGCGCUUUGUUUUCCGGUUUGAUAUACACUAACAUAUCCGUCUUCACAAAGCACUGGUUCGUUAUCAUGAACAAUAUAAUUCUAAAAAGUUAGAUGUAAUCUUUAUUGUAUCUAUUUACAUUACUGUUUCUUUAUCAUACACUGAAUCUGCAUACAAUUAUGUCCAAUCUGGAGCUUUGCCUAAACUGCUCAAAGGAUUAAGCCCCGAAACAUUUCCUCUAUCUCAAUAGUAAUUCAACUCCUGUCUAAUGCAGACUCUGUAUAUUCUGUAAUCCUGCCAUGUUUUAAGGUCGUGUUCCUUCUUUACAGUAGUAAAUAGAAUCUAUGUAAUCUUCGUUCUGGUCCAGUGUGCAGCGGUGGCUUCAUGGGGUCCUGACGAGUGCUGAAACAGUCUUCAUAGGUAUACAGGUAAAUCAUCAGUUGGCCAUGCAUUGUUACUGUCAGGGUGACACGGUCAAUAUUCCUGGAUCGAAUCGAAUUUCGAAUAAAAAACAAACAAACAAACAAACAAAAAAACAAAAACAAAAAACAAAACAAAACAUGAGCGGUAUUUAACUCUUUUGAACGAAAAAAGUUUGAAAGAUGAUAUCAUUAUAAAGAUUAAGGCGAUUUCUAUUUCAAAAGUAAAUAGACCUUUUCAAGAAAAUAUCAAGUUAAUAAUUGUUGAUUUUGUCCCAGUUUAUAAUGUAAUGAUGUGAUAAUAAAUGUUAUAGCAGUAUUCAAUUUAACGUCUUUGUUAACCUAUUGUGCAUUAUAAAAUGUACACUGUCUGAACAGUUACAGUUCUACAUUAUUACAUAUAUAACUCAUACAUAUGCUAUCCAUAUUGUACAUGUAUUUACAUAAAAGGAGUCAUUCUACAAUCCGGAAAUCUCUACAAAAUAGACUAAAUGGAAUCUAGUUUAGACAGUGAACUCUAUGUGUUACGUUUUAGCGCUGGUAAUAUUCCUUUGUAUUCACUAAAUAUGCCAGAAAUGCCAAGUAAUAGAAGGGUGUUAAAUGGACCAGACCACUCACUACGCCGGUCCAUUAUCCAUAUGUGACAUACUUUGUGUAUGUAAAUGUGACACAUUUAUAAAGGCGGGUAUAAGACUGUGGAGAUCUCCAUUUAAAUACAGUUGACUCCCCAUUUAAACAAGAUGGACCUUACAUUCGUUCCCGUACCUCGUCCACACAUCGCCGACUAUAUCGUUAUAGCUAUUUUCCUCUGUAUCUGUAUGGGAAUUGGCGUUUACUAUGCCUAUCAGACAAACAAGAAACCAACUUUGGAGAAUUAUUUCCUUGGAAAUCGACGUCUGUUUCUUUUACCGGUGUCAAUGUCACUUUUUGUGACGUUCAUGUCAGCCAUUACUCUCAUGGGUGUACCUGCCGAAGUGUACGUUUACGGAAUUAUUGGAACAUAUGUUUUCGUGGCGAACAUUUUCUCUGUGAUGAUAGCUAGUAUAACCAUAGUCCCCCUACUGUACCCUCUCCGACUCACCAGCACAUACGAGGUAAGUUGUUGGUUUUUAUGAAGUGAGCAAAAGUAUAGAUGUAGGAUUCUCAUAGAAUCAUGUUUUUCACAAUAGUUUAUUUUAAACUAUUAUAUUAAUUUCUACAGAGAAACCCUCAGGUGAAGAGUGUAUAUCAAUACAAACAUCAAAAUCAAGACAUGUAACUAGCAAAACCGCAUUUCUAAUUCAAAAUUGAUGAUAUAAGGGAAUGAUGUCAACGACACUUAUAUCUGCUUUAUCAGUGACACUCGUCAUAUGAAUAUAUGUCACGUUCAAAUAAUGUCAUGUUCUCUAAAUUAAUCAGGGAUAGUGACAAAUACACCACGAUAUAUUAUUGAAUACUUACUACCAAAGACUACAAGUCAGCACGUUUAAGUACUAUUCCAGUAUUUCUAUUUGUACAGUACCUCCAACUUCGAUUUCGUUCGAAAGGUGUUCGCAUUUUGGGAACUAUGAUUGGAAUGCUACAAACGGUCGCCUAUAUGGGAGUAACAUUAUAUGCACCGGGAUUGGCCCUUCAAAUUGUGGCUGGAAUACCUCUCUGGCUCUCACUCGUUGUUAUCGGCCUAGUUGGCACUCUAUACACAGCAAUCGGAGGAAUCAAAAGCGUGGUGUGGACAGAUGCGUUCCAGUUUAUAAUGAUAUUUAUUGGAUUGGCAGCUGUAAUUAUAAAGG